UGCAGACAGCUCCCAUGGUGCAGUCUGUGCUCCAGGGCUGCAGGACCGUCCCUUCAGUGGCAGCUCCACCUUGCCCACUCAAAGAUGGGGGAAGAAACUGGAUAACUCAGGUCUGAAUAAGAAAAAAAGCCACUAAAUGCUUGUGUGCCACCUCCUGCACUCCAUUGUGCUCUGGGAAGUGCAAGGGAAGCAGCCCAGCAAGAUUCCUGCCAUCUCAGGAAUCCAGCCCAGAGCCAUGAUCCCCUUGCUGCCCACAGAGUUCCUGAACAAGCCAAGCUCCAGCAACAAGCACCAGCUGUGUUUACAGGGUGUUGGUUUUGCUGAAUGAAUGGCCUGCAGUAGAGGGCCUGCUCUGGGCAGACAGACUGCCCAGAGCAGGCACUGCCCCAUGGAAUGGUGCUGUGUUAAUAAACCACUUGUUUCCAGGCUACCA
rnacentral:lncRNA from 1 species